UACAGAGGUCUCAAGCGUUGUUCGGAUUCAUUGGGCGUAAAGGGCGCGUAGGCGGCCUUGCAAGUGGCGGGUGAAAUCCCUCGGCUUAACCGAGGAACUGCCUGCCAGACUGCAAGGCUCGAGACCGGGAGAGGUGAGUGGAAUUCCCAGUGUAGCGGUGAAAUGUGUAGAUAUUGGGAGGAACACCAGUGGCGAAGGCGGCUCACUGGACCGGAACUGACGCUGAGGCGCGAAAGCGUGGGGAGCAAACAGG
rnacentral:rRNA from 1 species